rnacentral:rRNA from 1 species
CUCAAUGAAUUUUCAAUAGCCGCAAUUUAAUUGUGCUAAGGUAGCAUAAUCAUUUGUCUUUUAAUUAAAGACUAGAACAAAAGAUUUAACAUUUUUAUUACUUUCUUAAUUAUAUUUAUUUAAUUUAUCUUAAAUAUAAAAAGAUAUUUAUAUCAAAAAAAGACGAUAAGACCCUAUUGAAUUUAACUAAAGUUUAACUGGGGUAGUUAAUUAAAUAAAAUUUUAAUUUAAAUCACAAAACAUCUAAUAUAAUUAAAACAAUCAAAUUACCAUAGGGAUAACAGCGUAAUAAUUUUCUAUAGUUCUUAUUCAAAAAAUAAUUUGCGACCUCGAUGUUGAAUUAAUAAUCUAUUAAAUGCAAUAAUUUAAUAAGAAAGUC